UCACCCUCUGAGGAUUUGCAUUUAAAAUGUUUAAUUAAAUUUAGUUUAGUUUAAAAAUGUUAAAAUCUAAAAUGAGAUUUGUGUUUAAAAUGUUUCCUCUUUCCUCUCUUUUUAAGGUUUCUCCUUUAUCAGCUCACAAAAGAUCAGCUGUUUGGAUACACAGUCUAUUCCACUCACAUGACCCACCUAGCAAAAGCGUGGUAGCUGAAGGAUUUGAUUGCAUUCCAGGACCUCACUGUAUGCUUUGCACAUAGUAAGUGCUCAAUAAAUACUAUUAAAUGAAUGUAAUCCUAACUGGCCAUUUAAUGUUCUCUUAAGUGGCAACUCUGGGACUUCCUGGGAGUGAUGCAGGAGUCAGUCCAGUCCCAGGGGCCAGCACGGACCCCCUCUUGGCCUGGGGCUGCCUAGCUGAGGAUUCAUUCAGCUCUCAAUCCAAGAGGGAGCUGGAUCAGCAGCGAGAUGACGUGAGUGAAGACCCUUCCCCUAAAUCCAGGAGAGGGGAGGGAUGGGAGCGGGACAGAGGGUGACUUGUCCCUUCAGCUCCCUCUGGACCAGUUGUUCCCUACAAGGAGGUGGCCCAGUGGGAUGUGAUUUAGCUUGUGGGGGACUCUGGUCCAGGAGGAAAUGAAUGCCAAUGCCAUGGUAAGGGGAAUACAUGGUGGUCUUGCAGCUUCAGCUGCUCCUUGGGGAGUACCAUAUAGCCCCCCCACCAAGAGGCAAAACAAACCCAGAAAGAAGGGGAGGAUGGGGAGCCAGAAGGUGUUUUGGUCAAAGAGAAAAUAGCAAAAGAGCCCUCUCCACCAAAUCCUGUUCAACCCUACGCCUUCCCCAUAGUGUAGUGUUCCUCCGGUACCCUUCUUUACCUGGUUCUGCAUGUAUUUGGCAAUACCAAGUGAUAGAGUGUUUGGACAGGGCAGUCCUGGGCCAUGCUGCCGAAUGGUGUGGUCCCUCCUGGAGCCUGAAGCCAGCAUGCAUGUGUUCCUGUCUCAAUCAAUCAAUGGAAUUUAUUGAGCACUUAAUGAGUGCAGAGUCUGUCUCUCUAGACCCUCAACCUCUUCCACCUCUCCUCUGUGGGAAGACCUAUGGAGAGAUGACCUCCCAAUGCUGAAUCCAGUGUCCCUGACUCAUUUGCAUCCUUUAGAACCCAAUCUGAACUCACCCUGGCCCCAGCGUCUACUUGCAAGGUACAGCAGUUGGAGGUGGCCACACCAGCUUCUCAUGGUUCCUUAUGGCUGGAACUUGGCUUAAUCUUCUCUUUGAUUUCUGGAUCUUCAGGAGUCAAUGUGCUCACCAGAGAACAGAGGCCACACUCACACCCGGCAAUUGAACUCGUGCUUUCAAAGACCCCCGAGGGCACAGUGAGAAGCUGGAUGGAAACCACAACUACCAGUAGAAUAAACGUAAACAUUUAAUGUCACUAUAGUUUCUCUUAAACACCAGAUUUUUGACAAUAUGCUUCACACCUCAUAUACCACAAAAGGUGAGAGUUCAUUUUCCAUCAAACAAUAAACUUCACAUUGGUCAUUCAUGGCAAAAGGCUGAAUGGAUUUAUGUGGGUGAACUCGCAAGAGGUCCAAGGUUUGGGUCUUACCUACGCUUUAGGCAGCUGCUUUUCCUUUUGUCUAUCGAACGACAGCUCGGCCAAGAUAGACAUAUAGCUCUGUAUCUGUUUCUCAUAUAUAUACAUGUAUGUUCUAUCUACUGUAUACAUACUGUCUCUGUUCUACUUCUCUAGAAUAAAAAUUUGCUGCUGACUGUGUCAUCAUCAGGACUUUCAUUGUAAACCAAGACAAAGUGACUGGGAUCCUGUGGGAUCUUACCUGAUUCAAGCCUUAGGCUUUGGGAUUGGGCCCUAAUCCUUGUCCCCUCUGGUUUAUCCACUGUCUCUCCCUCCCUCCCGUUUCUCAACCAAUAUAGGUGGUCCUGGAGUGAGAAAGAACACGGCCACAGACAGGAUGAAAUGGAUCCAGCAAUUGUACACUUCAAUGCAUAGCACUUAGAUAAGCAUUUCCAACCAUGAUGGGUAAAUAAAUUAUAAAAUACAAGCGACUCUAUAAAACAAGAACAUCCUGAGUUUACAAAUAAAUUAGAUCCUCUUCAUACAUCACAAAUCAUCAUGUGGGGGUGAUUGGCAGUUUCAGCUAUGGAGAUGGAAGGAUUUGGACCGUAAAAUAUAAGGAAGUUAAUUUCUAGGUUCCGAAAACAUGUGUGUGAGCCUUACAGAGAUACUCCCUUCCCCCACCCUGUCCCUCCCCCCAACCCCUCCCCCACACACAUACACUGGUGAGUACAUCCCUAACUAGAGUAUAUCGAUUAUAUGCAACAGAUCGGACUGAAACUGCCUCAAGCACCAUUUUAUUUCUGGAAUUCUUAAGUAUGCUCAGUAUAGAGUAGGACCACUCCAAGUCAGAAUGUGUUCCUUGGAGAGCUGAAAGGUCAUUUUAUAAAUUUCAGAAGCUUUUUUUUUUCUUUUUAUGCACAUUUAGGUUUCGCUUCCAAGGGGCCUGGCUGGCCGGAAUGCCACUGCUGCCCUGAAACCGUCAGUCGGUGAGCCCUAAGAUUCCACUGGGGGCCUUUUGUUAUCUGGGGAGGCGGGUUUGGAGCCUUUUGGCAAGCUGAAGGGGUACUAAGGGGAAAUUGCGUUUGAACUGGAAGACAGAGAACAUGAUGGUGUUGAGGACUCAAAGUUCCUUGCGUUUAGGUUUUAAGCCUUGGUUACUUGGCCAAGCAGCCUGGUCCCUUCCUUGGGUGACCCAAAAACCACCCACCUCAGGCAGAUGCCGGGAGCCUACACCCCAAAAAGAGAGGAACUAAAAGAGCCUGGCCAACCCUAUAGUCUGGACCAAAGCGCCCCACCCCUCCCCAAGUCCACUCCUUGACUCAGUGCCUCUUUGUUGCUCAAGCCCCAAGUGGUGUAUGAUAUUUCUGUCCCCUUUAAUGCUCUUGAUUGGCAGUUUACCCUAGAAAAAGCAAGAGGGAAAGGGUGUCCACUUAAGAGUCAAAAGAGCCUCAGGCCCCAGGUCAAAAGCUGCUCCAUCUGACCAGAGUGAGGCCAGAAUCCCACUCUUCUACCACACCCUGUGGCUGCCUGACUCCAUGUUUACUGAACCUUUUUGUGUGUCCAUCCUCCAGCCGGGGCAGUGGUACAUACCACACUUGGCCCGAUAAAGGUCAGAGGACAGCAUCCGGGGCCCGUACCAGCCAAGAUUAAGGGUUGCCAGGAAAGGGAGAAAGUAAGAAAAGCAUAGGAUUAAAAAAAACAAACCCACCUCUACCUUUCAGCUGGAAAUCAAAAGCAUGCUGGCCAUACAGCUUUUGAGCCAGAAAGGGCUGAAGUCAGCAGAGGCCACACAAAAGCCCCUUUUCUAAUGGGUUUCUUCAGUGUUUCCGGAUGCUUCCAGCCCCAGUCACCAUCUGGUGUGAGCAGAGGACAGGACCUGUUGUAGGAGAAAGAUGAGACACAGAGAUGCCCUGCAGUAACACCUGUAACGUGGUAUAAUUUGACAUUCUCCAUGGGGGAAAGAAAAGAAAACCUAAAACACAACUUUAGGAAAGUUAAUGGCUGAAAAAAUAUGAGCCAUGGUUCCCCUGAAAGGGCAGUCAAGAUACAAGAGACUUACAAUAAGCCCAGAGUCCCGCACAGAAGGAGAAGCCUCAGUUGAUGGCAAGCGGAAAUGUGUGACUUCAACUCCUUUGGCAGGAAAUUGAAAUGACUGCAGUGAAGAUUUUUGAGUUUGGGGGUGAGAUGAAAUUGUGAUCUCCAUUCCCAAACACAAAAGUGAAGUGAAGGAAGGAGCUCUCAGAAAGGGCUGAAGUGGUAGCCCAUCUGCACGUGCCAAGAUUGACAGUAGCCUGGGCCCAUGAACAAGGGUCUUCAGGAUCACUUGGGUCUAAGGGGCGAGAAAUGGGAGAGUUCUGCACUUGGUUUGGAAAGGAAAAUGACCUACCUAUUCCUUGGAAAGCAACAGAGCCUGGUAGGAAAAGCACAGGACAAGGGCCUAGAUCAGUUCCUAGGCCCCUUGGUAUUAAUUUUCUGGCAUUUAGUAAGCACUGGGUUGGCUACAAGGUAAACAGAUUGGAAACAGUGCCUGUCCUUUACGGGGCUCACAG